rnacentral:rRNA from 1 species
AUACGGAGGGUGCAAGCGUUAAUCGGAAUUACUGGGCGUAAAGAGUACGUAGGUGGUUUGUUAAGUCAGAUGUGAAAGCCCCGGGCUCAACCUGGGAGCUGCAUUUGAAACUGGCAAGCUAGAGUAUGGUAGAGGGGGGUAGAAUUUCUAGUGUAGCGGUGAAAUGCGUAGAUAUUAGAAGGAAUACCAGUGGCGAAGGCGGCCCCCUGGACCAAUACUGACACUGAGGUACGAAAGCGUGGGUAGCGAACAGGAUUAGAAACCCUAGUAGUCC